AUUUUAAUAAGCAUUUUUAUUUCCAUUUCUCUGUUAACCAAAAUUCAAGCCAUUCAUCUGUUUGCUGAAAUGAUACCUUCAGUACAUCUUUAUGGUUUAAUUUUACUGUACAGCAGAAAUUGGCACAAUGUUGUAAAUCAACUAUAACUUAAAAAGCAAAAACAUAAAAAUAAACAUAUUUUAUAUUAAUAAUUGAUGAACCUAGGUAAAAGAUAAUCAAGAAUAGUUUUUUUCCCUAUUUAAAGACUUCUUUCUUACCCGUUGUGUUAUACUUUGAACUAGCAUAUUUUGGCUUAUACAUGUUUUAUUGAAUUAAAUACUAGACUUUAUUUCUUGUGUUUUAUGUCUUCCCCAACUUGAGGUUUUACUCUGAUUGAAAUUCCAUUUGGCUAGAAUACUUUCUUAAAUACUUUUGUUUCCACAAAGGAUACUUGUGGUAGAAAAAAACCCCACAGCUCCACAGCUUUCUCCCCUUUUUUUCUGUAAUAAUAAGACCUCAAAAUUUUAACCAGAAGUUAAAAUGGCUUCUUGGAAGGAGUCACUUAUCCCAUCCGUUUUUAGAGCUAGGUACGGCCGCGUGACAUCCUGACCAAAGGGAUGGAAAUGGAAAGAACGUGCCGGACAUGAAAAGGGGCAGCCCUCCACUUCCUCGCCGUCCUUUCUGCUGGUCCAAAUGCACACGUGAUCAAAGGAGCUGGAGGAGUCAGCUUGGACCACAGCAUGGAAGUUUAGUGAUAAUGCUCAAGGGCCCUGUGACCAGGUAUGGCAGGUAUGAUCCUAGAGGCAGCUACCUGGCGAUGCCUUGUUCCAGUCUUUUUAGCCUAGAGGUGUCGUGAACCACGUGACAUACUUUCAAUAUAUUCCUUCUCUUCUGAGAACUGCCAGUUUCUGAAACUUGCAAUUGAGAAUGAUGAUACGGACGUUGGUAAGACAUGGUUAUAGGCAAUAGAACCUCAGGGAAAUGGAGAGGGGAUUCAUAGGUUAGUUACAUGAUGUAACUGGAGCUGAAGGUACAGAAAAUCCAGUGAGUAUUGAGUGAUGUGACCUGGUAGUCCACGGGACUUAGUCGCCAAAGAGCUAACUAAAUUGCCACCUGUGGUGACUGACCUGAAUGAAAUAAAGUGCCAUUAUAGACAGUGGCAACUAAGUGGCUAUAGCCAUAGAGCACUCUGAAGGUUCUGAGGAACUCAAGGACAGUGGCGUGGGGUAGCUUUUCUAAUUGUCCUGGAAAGCUUAAAGUAGAAGAAUGACUGCUUAGAUUCCUAAAUUUAUGGCUUCUGUCACUGUGAAAUCCAUGCUAACAUAUCUGCUUUUCUGAAACCGCAGGAUUAAGAAAGCUGGAAAAUAAAUGCAAAAUCAGACCCCUAAACUUACUGAAU
rnacentral:lncRNA from 1 species